rnacentral:rRNA from 1 species
GACGAACGCUGGCGGCGUGCUUAACACAUGCAAGUCGAACGAAGUGGCGAACGGGUGAGUAAUACGUGGGUAACCUGCCCUCCUUUUUGGGAUAAGCCUUUGAAACGGGGUCUAAUACCGAAUAAAGGGGGAUGUGCUAGCGGCCUAUCAGCUUGUUGGUGGGGUGAUAGCCUACCGAGGCGGACACGGGUAGCCGGCCUGAGAGGAUGAGCGGCGACAUCGUAACGGAGAUAAGGCCCAGGAUCCUAAGGGGGGGGGAAGAGAGGGGUAUUGGAGAAUGGAGGAAAGCCUGAGGCAGCGAGGUCGUGAGAGGGAUGAGGGGUUUUGGGGUGUGAACCUAUAUCCUUAUAGAAGGGGUAGGUGGAGAAGAAGCGCCGGCUAACUACGUGCCAGCAGACGCGGUAAUAC